rnacentral:misc_RNA from 1 species
GUGAUUGGCCUCACGGCCGUUUCAUUUUCCAACCUCUGUGAACUGUGGCCUCCGGGCCGUAUCUUUAAACAUGGUGUAAAGAAUGUAUCUUAUCAUAAACAAACA